CUACGGGAGGCAGCAGUGGGGAAUAUUGGACAAUGGGGGAAACCCUGAUCUAGCCAUGCCGCGUGGACGAUGAAGGCCUUAGGGUUGUAAAGUCCUUUCAGCUGGGAAGAUAAUGACGGUACCAGCAGAAGAAGCCCCGGCUAACUCCGUGCCAGCAGCCGCGGUAAUACGGAGGGGGCUAGCGUUGUUCGGAAUUACUGGGCGUAAAGCGCACGUAGGCGGACUAUUAAGUCAGGGGUGAAAUCCCGGGGCUCAACCCCGGAACUGCCUUUGAUACUGGUAGUCUAGAGUUCGAGAGAGGUGAGUGGAACUCCGAGUGUAGAGGUGAAAUUCGUAGAUAUUCGGAAGAACACCAGUGGCGAAGGCGGCUCACUGGCUCGAUACUGACGCUGAGGUGCGAAAGUGUGGGGAGCAAACAGGAUUAGAAACCCCGGUAGUCC
rnacentral:rRNA from 1 species